AGUGUAUGAUCUGUAAUAUUGAAUGGCAAAUUCGUUUAUGUGUUUCUUUUCCUUUCAGGAAACAAAAAUAUUUUGUGGCAACAAGGCAGGAAUAAAGUACAAGGGCUCAUUCUGUGAAAUUAUACAGAAUUUGUCUAAUAUUCAUUUCUGCCUGAAUAAAUCAUUUCCACAGUGACUGAGGAGCUGCAUGUACAGAAGCCUGGAUUUCCUUCGGAGUCCAGAAGCAUCCUGUCCUUCUCUCUUCUCCAGGAGCAAUUUUGGAACAGGGGUGAAUGUUUACAGACCCUCAGAACUACAGGAACUUUGAAGAUCAUCUGUGUCCAAAUUGUCCUUCCUCAGCAAGGCAGCUCUGGGUUAGGGAUGACAAGCCACUUGCCAAGGUUGCUCUUCUAUUUCACAGCCCACCCGGCCAGUAACAGAGUCCAGGUCUCUUGAUUCUUUGUCAAGAAUGUUUCUUCAUAACAGUGCAGUCUCAGCUGCUCUUAGGCACAAUGAAUGAUCCAGAGGGAGCUUGGCCUGAUGAGGAGCAAGGGGUGGUCUUGGAGCUCAAAUUCUCCCUGAGUUCAUUGUUAAUAAUUGUGCUUGUUGCUCAAAUAAAGGGAUAAAUAACAUUCAACAGUUAAGUGAGAAAUAAAAAAAAAAUCCUUAGAUGCCAUUCUGAUGAGAGUUCUUCACUGGUAUCUUUAUCAUAGAUGGCAAUUCUAAGCUUUGCUUACCUCAUGCAAAUCUUAGAAGUUGCAUUUUGGUUAAUGUAUGAGUCUGUUGGAGAGCAGUCUGCCGUGGGAUGAGUUCAGACAGACCCGGGUUCCAAACUUGGCUGUGCUCCUUAUAAAUGAUGAGAUUUUGCAGAGUAGUUAGCAAACUGUUCGUGCCUCAUUCCCUCCAGGGUAAGUCGUAAUUGAUGGAUUUGAAGAAUUGUUACUUUAGUGAUUUAUUAUUUUUUUAUAAAGUGAUAACCGUAU